UACGAAGGGGGCUAGCGUUGCUCGGAAUCACUGGGCGUAAAGGGUGCGUAGGCGGCCCUGUAAGUCCGUUGUGAAAGUCAAAGGCUCAACCUUUGAAUGCCGAUGGAUACUGCAGGGCUAGAGUCCGGAAGAGGCGAGUGGAAUUCCUGGUGUAGCGGUGGAAUGCGCAGAUAUCAGGAGGAACACCAAUAGCGAAGGCAGCUCGCUGGGACGGUACUGACGCUAAGGUGCGAAAGCGUGGGGAGCGAACAGG
rnacentral:rRNA from 1 species